rnacentral:rRNA from 1 species
GACGUAGGGCGCGAGCGUUGUCCGGAUUUAUUGGGCGUAAAGAGCUCGUAGGCGGCUCGUUGCGUCGGCUGUGAAAACUCACAGCUCAACUGUGGGCGUGCGGGCGAUACGGGCAGACUAGAGUACUGCAGGGGAGACUGGAAUUCCUGGUGUAGCGGUGGAAUGCGCAGAUAUCAGGAGGAACACCGGUGGCGAAGGCGGGUCUCUGGGCAGUAACUGACGCUGAGGAGCGAAAGCGUGGGGAGCGAACAGG